GACGAACGCUGGCGGCGUGCCUAAUACAUGCAAGUAGAACGCUGAAGAGAGGAGCUUACUCUUCUUGGAUGAGUUGCGAACGGGUGAGUAACGCGUAGGUAACCUGCCUUGUAGCGGGGGAUAACUAUUGGAAACGAUAGCUAAUACCGCAUAACAAUGGAUGACACAUGUCAUUUAUUUGAAAGGGGCAAUUGCUCCACUACAAGAUGGACCUGCGUUGUAUUAGCUAGUAGGUGAGGUAAUGGCUCACCUAGGCGACGAUACAUAGCCGACCUGAGAGGGUGAUCGGCCACACUGGGACUGAGACACGGCCCAGACGCCUACGGGAGGCAGCAGUAGGGAAUCUUCGGCAAUGGGGGCAACCCUGACCGAGCAACGCCGCGUGAGUGAAGAAGGUUGUCGGAUCGUAAAGCUCGGUUGUAAGUCAAGAACGGGUGUGAGAGUGGAAAGUUCACACUGUGACGGUAGCUUACCAGAAAGGGACGGCUAACUACGUG
rnacentral:rRNA from 1 species